CCAUAAUAAACAUAAUAAAUCCAUAAUAAAGACAAUAAUAAUAAAGCUGCGAUAAACAACAUUAUGAGUUUGAACGUUGUGACAUUUUGUCUGUUGAAACUUCCUCACUGUUAAAAUCGACCACAAGCCUGUUGCUGCUGUUGUCUGUUCAGAACCGCCCCGGUUGUUCAGAACCGGGGCGGUUCUGAACAACAUGAGCGUCUGGACCCGGAGCCCGCCGCUGUCUGGAAAUAUUCUGCUCACUUCCUGUCUCCUCCUGCCUGUCUGUAGAGUUAGUUGAUGCGCGGCGUGUCGGCCAUUAGCCCCGCCGCGCCGCCGCCUGCUGAACCCCAGGCUGCUUCAGACAACAGGACACGGCUCGCCCUGAAAACCCGACUUACUGUUUCAACAGCUGGUUCUGACAGCGGGGCCUCUGCAUGGAGAAGAAGUGAAAGUUUACAGAGAUGUGGGUUUAGAUGCAGGGAGGACUGAAACCACUACUGCACCUCAGUUCCAGAAAGUCUGACGUUGAGGAGGAAGAAGAGAAAUGGACGUGUUUGCAUCAACAGUCGAAGCUAAAAGUUUGCAUUUCUGGCUCAAAGUGUUUAUAGUAGAAAAGUGUGUGGGAGUUCGAUGAUUUGGAAAGAAUUUUCUGUCCUCAAGCUUCUUACAGGCUUUCUGUGGUUAUGACUCAAACUCUGCCUUCAUAAAAUAAAUGUAAUUAAGCAGAAAAAAAAGAUUAAAAGUUGAAGAAAAAAUAUCUGAAGCACAACUUCUGGAAUGAUCUUUGACCUCUGGUGAGGUGAAGGAAACUUAGCAGAGCCUGCAGUUUGUGUUUUUCAGCAACACGAAGCAUCUGGGACAGAAAACGGAGAAAACAUUUAAAGAGAAAACGGAGAAAACAUUUAAAGAGAAAACAGAGAAAACAUUUUGGUUGCUGUGGUAAAAAGUUUGAACUCUCAGGCUGAAGCAACUUGUAAUUCCUGUUCUUAGAUACUUAAAAAAACAUUACGCAACAUUCAAAUGUAAAUAUAAACUGAGUCUAAACAUAAUGUGAAGCAUAACAUUUUUAUAAAAAGACGUAUUUGGAUGAAGCUUAAGGAAAUAGAAGUGAUAAAGCAGAGUAGCAUCAAACUGUUUCCUGGAUGUAAUCCCAGACAGAUCCGUCUGUCAUUCAAGAUUAAGUUCAACUUUAUUUAUAAAUCCCAUUCAAAACAGCUGCUGUACCCAAGUACUGCUCAUAAAAACAGAAAUAAUAAGAAUAUACAGGGGAGAAAAAUAAAACAAGAAUAUUGAAAACAUUAAGAAAAGAAAGAUGAAAAAUUCAACUAAGAGCAGCAGGAAACGUUUUAUGGUCUGGAUCAGUUUCUCUGUGUUUUAGGAGUUUCCUGUCUGACCUGAAUAAAGUGAGGAAAGGAUUCAGCAGAUCUGGACGUCAUGCAGAGCAGAUCUGGACGUCAUGCAGAGCAGAUCUGGACGUCAUGCAGAGCAGAUCUGGACGUCAUGCAGAGCAGAUCUGGACGUCAUGCAGAGCAGAUCUGGACGUCAUGCAGAGCAGAUCUGGACGUCAUGCAGAGCAGAUCUGGACGUCAUGCAGAGCAGGUCAUGCAGUUCUGCAGCAGAGACACAUGCAACACGCAGGCAGGGCUGGAGAAACACCAACCAGAGAUAAAAGCAUCAGGAGGCGAGAACAGCGGCCUGUUGGCUGCUGGUGGCAGCUGCUCAUCGUGGAUCUGAGCUCCAUCCGUCUGGUGAGCUUCCCACGGACGUCACCGGCUCUAAUGCAGCUGAUUCAAACCUCCAGGAACCAGAAUCAGAUGAUGUGAGACGAUAAGCAGGACUGUUGGACCCGGCAGCUUCUGCUUUAAGCUAAGUACAGACUUCAGAAAACAAAGAUCCAAACCUCACAGCUCAGAUGUUCAUCAGAUUAUUACAUUUCCUCUGAGCGAAGCAGAAGUUGCUUCUGCCUGCAGGUUAAUUAAUGUUUGAUUUGGGACAGAGAAACGUUGGGACUCACUGCUGCUUCACUUAUUACAUGAGGGGUCAGAGAUAUUUCUCAUUAUUGCAUUUCUGGUCCACAUGUGGAAUCUUUUCUGAAUCUUUUAAAUAAUAACAAUAAUCACUUCAACAGAAACUUUAUGCUUGGCCUCCUGCAGCUGCAGCAGUAGAGCAGGAAACCUGAAGGAGCUGCAGAGUUUUACUACGUUUCUCUGCUGAGUAAAACAUUUUUGUGUUCCAAAUAUAAAUGUUGUGAUGGAUGGAGUCUGAGGUUUGUAUUGAUGAUCCUCCACUCGUUUUGCUGACCUGGACGGAUUUGCUGCUCUGACCCAGUUUUACUCAGUCAGGCUCCAGUGAAGUCAGAGGUGAAUCUCAAAAACUCAUUUAAUCUGCAACAAGUCAGAACCGAGUCCUGACAUGGAGAAAGGUUUUCCUUAAACAUCUGGUUUUAUUUCAAUUUUACAUUAAAUACGCUCUAAUUCAUUUCCCUUCUUACUUCUUCACGUCUCUUCAGUUCAACACAUUUCUAACAUCAUUUAGUAAAAAUUAGUUUCAAAGAUUUUAGUUUGACUUGUGCUUCUAAUUAUUUUUCACCUAAAACUGCAAAUCUUAACUAAAAACCGUAGUGAAAUAUUCUUAUUUAUGGAUGCUCGUGGCUGUAAAGUGACGGAUGCUUCAGUAUUUCAGCUGGCAGUGAACAAACAUGUUCUGUUGGGUUUUUAGUUGGUAUUUUUCUCUCCUCUCGGUCAGAAGUGUUAGAAAUCAGCUGGUCGC